rnacentral:tRNA from 2 species
GUAAAUAUAGUUUAAUAAAAACAUUAGAUUGUGAAUCUAAAAAUAGGAGUUCAAACCCCCUUAAUUACC